rnacentral:rRNA from 1 species
UUCGGGUUGUAAAGUACUUUCAGUCGUGAGGAAGGCGGCGUCGUUAAUAGCGGCGUUGUUUGACGUUAGCGACAGAAGAAAGCACCGGCUAACUCCGUGCCAGCAGCCGCGGUAAUACGGAGGGUGCGAGCGUUAAUCGGAAUUACUGGGCGUAAAGCGCAUGCAGGUGGUUUGUUAAGUCAGAUGUGAAAGACCCGGGGCGUCAACCUCGGAAUUGCAUUUGUAAACUAGGCAGACUAGAGUACUGUAGAGGGGGGUAGGAAUUUCAGGUGUAGCGGUGAAAUAGCGUAGAGAUCUGAAGGAAUACCGGUGGCGAAGGCGGCCCCCUCGGACAGAUACUGACACUCAGAUGCGAAAGCGUGGGGAGCAAACAGGAUUAGAUACCCUGGUAG